GAUGAACGCUAGCGGCAGGCCUAAUACAUGCAAGUCGAACGGUGUAGUAAUACACAGUGGCGCACGGGUGCGUAACACGUAUGCAACCUACCUUACAUUGGGGGAUAGCCUUUCGAAAGGGAGAUUAAUACCGCAUAAGACAGUAACUAGGCAUCUAGUAGCUGUUAAAGAUUAUCGAUGUAAGCUGGGCAUGCGUCCAAUUAGUUAGUUGGCGAGGUAAUGGCUCACCAAGACGAUGAUUGGUAGGGGAACUGAAAGGUCAAUCCCCCACACUGGCACUGAGAUACGGGCCAGACUCCUACGGGAGGCAGCAGUAGGGAAUAUUGGGCAAUGGGCGCAAGCCUGACCCAGCCAUGCCGCGUGCAGGAAGAAGGCGUUAUGCGUUGUAAACUGCUUUUAUACAGGAAGAAACGACCCUUGCGAGGGGCAUUGACGGUACUGUAUGAAUAAGCACCGGCUAACUCCGUGCCAGCAGCCGCCGUAACAC
rnacentral:rRNA from 1 species